CCUAGAGUUGUAGGCUUUGCCUGCUAUCUCUUACCCAUGUCUUUUGAGUACCUUCGUUUCCUCGGCGGGUCCGCCCGCCGAUUGGACAAUUUAAACCAUUUGCAGUUGCAAUCAGCGUCUGAAAAAAACUUAGUAGUUA
rnacentral:misc_RNA from 1 species